GAUGGACGCUGGCGGCGUGCCUAAUACAUGCAAGUCGAGCGAACGGACGAGAAGCUUGCUUUUCUGAUGUUAGCGGCGGACGGGUGAGUAACACGUGGAUAACCUACCUAUAAGACUGGGAUAACUUCGGGAAACCGGAGCUAAUACCGGAUAAUAUUUUGAACCGCAUGGUUCAAAAGUGAAAGACGGUCUUGCUGUCACUUAUAGAUGGAUCCGCGCUGCAUUAGCUAGUUGGUAAGGUAACGGCUUACCAAGGCAACGAUGCAUAGCCGACCUGAGAGGGUGAUCGGCCACACUGGAACUGAGAAACGGUCCAGACUCCUACGGGAGGCAGCAGUAGGGAAUCUUCCGCAAUGGGCGAAAGCCUGACGGAGCAACGCCGCGUGAGUGAUGAAGGUCUUCGGAUCGUAAAACUCUGUUAUUAGGGAAGAACAUAUGUGUAAGUAACUGUGCACAUCUUGACGGUACCUAAUCAGAAAGCCACGGCUAACUACGUG
rnacentral:rRNA from 1 species